ACGAACGCUGGCGGCGUGCUUAACAUAUGCAAGUCGAACGGAAAGGCCCUGCUUUUGUGGGGUGCUCGAGUGGCGAACGGGUGAGUAACACGUGAGUAACCUGCCCUUGACUUUGGGAUAACUUCAGGAAACUGGGGCUAAUACCGGAUAGGAGCUCCUGCUGCAUGGUGGGGGUUGGAAAGUUUGGGCGGUUGGGGAUGGACUCGCGGCUUAUCAGCUUGUUGGUGGGGUAGUGGAUUACCAAGGCUUUGACGGGUAGCCGGCCUGAGAGGGUGACCGGCCAAAGUGGGACUGAGAUACGGCCCAGAGUACUACGGGAGGCAGCAGUGGGGAAUACUGCACAAUGGGCGGAAGCCGGAUGCAGCAACGCCGCGUGCGGGAUUACGGCCUUCGGUUGGUAAACCGCUUUCGCAUGUGACGAAGCGUGAGUGACGGUAAUAGGUAAAGAAGCACCGGCUAACUACGUG
rnacentral:rRNA from 1 species